CCUACGGGAUGCAGCAGUGGGGAAUAUUGCACAAUGGGGGAAACCCUGAUGCAGCGACGCCGCGUGAGCGAGGAAGUAUUUCGGUAUGUAAAGCUCUAUCAGCAGGGACGAAAAAAGACGGUACCUGACUAAGAAGCCCCGGCUAACUACGUGCCAGCAGCCGCGGUAAUACGCAGGGGGCAAUCGUUAUCCGGAUUUACUGGGUGUAAAGGGAGCGUAGACGGCAGCGCAAGUCUGAAGUGAAAUGCCGGGGCUUAACCCCGGAACUGCUUUGGAAACUGUGCAGCUAGAGUGCAGGAGAGGUAAGUGGAAUUCCUAGUGUAGCGGUGAAAUGCGUAGAUAUUAGGAGGAACACCAGUGGCGAAGGCGGCUUACUGGACUGUAACUGACGUUGAGGCUCGAAAGCGUGGGGAGCAAACAGGAUUAGAUACCCGGGUAGUC
rnacentral:rRNA from 1 species